GACGAACGCUGGCGGCGUGCUUAACACAUGCAAGUCGAACGUAGUGGCGAACGGGUGAGUAACACGUGAGCAACCUACCUUACACAGGGGGAUAGCCGUUGGAAACGACGAUUAAUACCGCAUGGUGUAAGAUGGGCUCGCGUCUGAUUAGCUAGUUGGAAGGGUAAAGGCCUACCAAGGCGACGAUCAGUAGCCGGUCUGAGAGGAUGAACGGCCACAUUGGAACUGAGACACGGUCCAAACUCCUACGGGAGGCAGCAGUGGGGAAUAUUGCACAAUGGGGGAAACCCUGAUGCAGCAACGCCGCGUGCGGGAUGACGGCCUUCGGGUUGUAAACCGCUUUCAGCCAUGACGCGGUAGUGGCAGAAGAAGCACCGGCUAACUACGUGCCAGCAGCCGCGGUAAUUC
rnacentral:rRNA from 1 species